CUCAAUGAUAAUCUCAUCUCAUACCAUCUAAACGAAUAUCACAAUUUGGGCAUAACCCUUACAUCAAUUCAACAAGACCAUGUAUAGGUCGUAAAAAAGAACAAUAUUCAAAUAACAAGAAAAGGAAUGAUAGAGUCAAUAAGCUCAUAACAAAAUCCAAAGCUACAUUAUGGCACUGUCCUCGAGAGUUGAGGACCUACCCUCCUUGGAUGAAAGCAAGAAUCCAAGCCUUCAACAAUGACGCCUCCCAAAAAUCUUCAACAAUCUGAACCUAAACUGUUUUGGAAAAAAGGAAAGAAAAAAAUGAGGUUAGUACUCUACAUGUACUAAGUAUGAGAUCUUAUGCCCAUAUACAAGCAAAAUACGCAAAAAGGGAGCUUUUAGUUAAAUCAUUUUAAUUUACUCCUUUAAGAACUUAUACACAACCAAUAGUUAAGGAAGUCAAAUGUAUAUCAACACGCUUGAACCCAUAAUAUCGUAUACUCUAUCACAAAGUAAUAUCAUCACAUACAUGAAUAAGAGUAAUCACAUAAGCAAAGUAAGGUAGCAAAUCAUAAAUUCCCAUAGAGUCAACAAGUGCAAUGACCAAGUAAAGCCCCAUAACCCUACUUAAUCAAGUCUCCCAACAAGAACUAUAAUUAGUAUCAUACUUCACACAAUAUAAUCUCUUAAAUUCAUAAAUUCAUCUUUUAAUUAAUUAAAACCAUUAUGACCAUUUGCAUGUUCAUAAACAUCAUAAUCAUCAUAUAAAAACAAUUACAUUUAAUACCAUCCGUAUACAUAAUAUUAACUUUCCAAAGCUCCCAUCAAGAAAAUAGUGCAAGGCAUAGGUAGAGUCUCAUACCCCUACCUAGGCUAAGUCAAAACCCUCAAGUCACUUUAGUUAGUCUAUACUUCAUUCAUUCAUUUUAUUUUAGGGAACACUUGCUUUAACCGACAUAGACCACAUGAGUAAAAUGUGGAAUCCGGUGUCAUAAGAUAUUACACCGAUGGAAGGUGGUCUAGCGUCCAAGGUAAAAUCUAAUAUAAACAUAGUUUUCUAGGUGGAUCCACUAGCUAGUAUCAUAUGUUGGCAACAUAGUUUAAGGAACGAAGAGAUAGGUAUUCCCUGUACAUACCAUUUAGUAAUUGGGGCCUCACCUCAUGGGAAUCAUUGGAUGAGUAUCCUUCAAAGGGGAGUCAACAUCACUUAUAGACCUACAAGAUAACACUUCCUCUAUGGAAAGCCAUCACCUCCCAUUGUCAAGUUCACUCGGUGCUAAGUUAAGUCCAUUUAAUGGAAUGUCUUUAAGCCUUUAUUAUCAAUCAUUAUUUAAUUUAGGCCAUAACUUCUACUCCUUAUAUAAUCACCAUCAUCAAUAGCUUAAUAAAAAUUGUAUGAGUAUAAGUCUUUUCAUUACAAUUCAUAUAAGGGAGGUUAACACUUUAGUAUUUUAUAACAUAUUUAGGCACAUUGAUAGUUUUCACCAUCCUUAUUGCACAUACACCUUAAUCAACCUCACAACAUAGUCAAGACAUUUCGGUUCAACAUCAUACCACCCUAUAAUCCUGGUAUAAAGCAUACUCCAAAUGUAAUAUCAUGACUUAGCAACAAUUAAUCAUAAUUGGAAGUAAAGAUAGAGAUUCUAAGACUUACCAAGUCUUCCUCAUAGUCUAUCAUCAAGGUCUUACCAUCAACCCAUAACUUCACCCAACUUGGAAAGUAACAUCAUCACACAAUGGUAACCAAAAUAACAAGGUCAAUUGCAUCUCUAUAACACAAUUCAUCUUUAGAUCACAACUUGAGACAAGGUACAUAGGCUAAUUUUGCAUUAUAAUUCAUAACAUAAAUCACAUCUCAAGAACUAGCAUGAUAGGUCUAUAAUUCAUCUUAAUUUAAUCAUAAUAGCACCAUAGGAUAGUAAUCAAAUCAACAACCAACUCAAUUGAAUGACCACAAUACAAUAUAGGUCAAGAUCACUACCGAUGGUUAAGGAUAGAGGAUCAUAUUCUUCAAUUUAGACCAAACCAUCAACAACUACCACAAACAAGUUGAAUUACAUGUUAAUCUACUCAAUAUAACCCUAAAAAUUCAUUAACAACUCAAUCCAUAACUUUAAUUUCGUAAUUGAAUGAAACCCAUAAGGAAAUUCAACUUUUUGAAAUCUAUUUUGAAGGAACCCUUUGAGGAAAGGAUCUCAAAGGUGAAUAGAACACAUACCUUAAUGUUUCUCAACAAUUUGAUGAAUAAUCUACCCUUUUUCCGACCCCCAAUUCACCUUCCAAGCUAAGCUUCUAUGGAGUCUUCCAAUUAGAAGAGAGAAAGAAGAGAGAAGAAAGAGGGUUUAUU
rnacentral:lncRNA from 1 species